rnacentral:misc_RNA from 1 species
GAUGAAGAACGUAGCGAAAUGCGAUAAGUAAUGUGAAUUGCAGAAUUCAGUGAAUCAUCGAAUCUUUGAACGCACAUUGCGCCCGCCAGCAUUCUGGCGGGCAUGCCUGUUCGAGCGUCAUUUCAACCCUCGAGCCCCCCCGGGGGCCUCGGUGUUGGGGGACGGCACACCGGCCGCCCCCGAAAUGCAGUGGCGACCCCGCCGCAGCCUCCCCUGCGUAGUAGCACACACCUCGCACCGGAGCGCGGAGGCGGUCACGCCGUAAAACGCCCAACUUUCUUAGAGUUGACCUCGGAUCAGGUAGGAAUACCCGCUGAACUUAAGCAUAUCAAUAAGCGGAGGA